rnacentral:sRNA from 1 species
AGGGGGCUGUGAGCUCCCCGAUUGGGGCUCGGUCCGGCCAAUAUUGUCACUCUAACGUGCACUCGCGCCUUCCCUCGGCUCUACAGGGCAUCGCAGCCACCGAUCCCAGCCCCUCCCCGGCCUAUGCCAGCCGCCUGGUCGCCCUCCGGGCUGCGGAGCCAGGCCUGGCCUGACAGCAGCAGCUGUUUUCUUCCCGAAGCCGCAGCGCUCAAGGGCGUGGUUGCGGUAGAGACCUCGGAUCCCAUUUGGCCUGUGCGGACCCUACCGCGCCAACCCCUCGUCUUAGGACCCAGAGGCCCGACAGCCAGGCGAGAAGCCCUUCAGAUGCGAGUUCGAGGGCUGCGAGCGGCGCUUCGCCAACAGCAGCGACCGUAAGAAGCAUUCGCACGUGCACACUAGCGACAAGCCAUACACGUGCAAGGUGCGGGGCUGCGACAAGUGCUACACGCACCCCAGCUCGCUGCGUAAGCACAUGAAGGUGCACGGGCGCUCGCCGCCGCCCAGCUCUGGCUACGAUUCGGCUACACCGUCUGCCCUCGUGUCGCCCUCGUCGGACUGCGGCCACGAGUCCCAGGUGGCCUCCUCGGCGGCGGUGGCGGCGCGUACCGCCGACUUGAGCGAAUGAUGUCCACCGCGUUGCUCUCAAGGUAAUCUCGCUCCGCGCAGCUGAGCGCCCCGCAUCUCGCGCCUGCUACAUCAAAGGGCCCGCGCACAAAGCAGUGUUUCUUCGCCACGGUGCAUCUUCAUGGUAAGUUAGGAUUUCUAUGGCAAUGUGCAAGUCACACUGAAAUCCUGAAAGGCCAAGCCUGGAGCCCGUCCAGGCUUUUCAUUAAG